GUGACGACACGCGAUUGACGUAGGCUACGAAAACAUGACGAAACUAAAAUAAGUCUCUAAACAAUAUCGAUCAUCUUAUUUUGACUCGAUCGUUAAUGGCCCCUGUAGAUGGACAUCAUGAAUUGUUUGUGCAAAGCAAGAAAAUGGAAGCAAUAAGGAAAUGAUGAGUUUGAGGCAGGUUUCCCAAAUGUUAUCGGUGCACUGGACUGCACCCAUGUGCGUAUUAAGUGUCCAUCUGGUCCACAUGAAGCAGACUUUGUAAAUAGGAAAUCAGUACACAGCAUCAAUGUACAGAUGAUCUGUGAUGCAGAUUGAAUCAUCACAAAUGUAGGAAAGCACCUGUCUGAGGAAAGAGAAGCAACUAAGGAUUGUUGCAGAGGAAGACUGGGGCAUUGAAGCAGUAUUUGAAGAAAAUCAAACAGGCAGAAUUAUACGAGACACAUU